ACAUCCUCAACCUUCUUGGUUUCUUGACCAGGAAGGCUUGGACUUUGGAGGUUUUCCUUGCUGGCCUCUCUUUGAAGCCAGCUCCUCCUAAAUGAAUUAGUGGGGUUUGCUUUGCCGAUCCUUGACGUGAUAAGUAUGCUUCUACGUCUUGGGUUGCCCUGGAACCCGCUGAACUUAAGCAUAUCAAUAAGCGGAGGCU
rnacentral:misc_RNA from 1 species